GAGAGAGAGAGAGAGAGAGAGAGAGAGAGAACUUUGGGGUCUGUGGUUAUGAGGUUCAAGUGGAUCUGUCUACCCUCAUGGGGAGGGUCAGACUUUUCCAAGACCAGGGAUGCAAAAACUCAUGCUGCCCCCAGACAGUAGGCUGGUGUAGGGUGGGUGGGAGGCCCCAGAGAGCUCCAGGUGGAGGGAGAGAACCCUGUGAAGACUCUGAGGGCUGGGCUGCAGGGAGCAAGAGGUGGGCAGAAGACCAGGGCUGGGGAGGCAGGGAUGCAGACUGAUGUGCUUAGACCUGCAUGUUGGAUCCCUCCCCUUCUCUGCUGGGGGGAAGCCAGGAGGCUACAGCAUUGAGCAGGAGCCCCAGAGAGGUGGAGAGAGUAGAGGGCUCCGGCAGGCAGGCAGGCGGUAUUUAAAAGCUCUGGGCUUUCUCAGGGGAGCGGUUAGCAGGAAGGCAACCCUGGGCCCAUUUGUGCAGCACAGAGGUCCUGAUGCGUUAGUCCGCUGAUGGAAAUUAAUUGUAAAUAUUAUUCAAAUGUACCUCCCUGUGCACAAUUACACUUCUCAGGGGAGUUCUCUGAGUACAUCAGGAAACUCUGUAAACAAUACAUACAUUAGCCUGUGCUGCUGCUGCUGUGGUGGUCGCGGCUGUGAGAUUUACUCCAAGUGUUUGUGCUGGGAAUUAGCCUUGGACAACCCUAGACAGGCCACCCAACUCCUGGCCUAGAUGCCUGGUCACUGGGCAGGUAGGGACACAGAGCUGGCAGGAGAGGAAGACAUGCAGGUCUAGAGAAUGGCCAGCGCCCGAGAGGCUCAGCAGCGGCUGCACCAGCAGUGUGGUUACCUGGCUGUGUUCGAGUCUGGAGCAAGCAUGUCUGUCUGGUGAUCUCGUUGAGUCUUCAUGGAAGCCUUUGUGGUAGGACCCAGCGCCAUGUCUGUAGAUGGGUGAAGAGGUAGAGAGAUUCAGAAAGGUGAGGGUAGUGAGCGCUGAGGGCCAAGCCCGUUGUCUAUCUGUCUGUCUGUCGGAAAGCUCUUGCUUUCCCAAGAAGUUAGUCAGUGUUUGUCUUCUACCCUCACCCCCCACUCCUAAUUCCUGUCACCUUUUGCCUGAGGCAUGUGACGAUGAGUCCAGGGACUGUGCUGUCCAUGAAGGGGAGGGCAUGGUAGCUAUAGGGCUUGCCAGUCAGCUCCUCUCAGCCUUUGGGUUUGGGGGUUUGGAAGAGACACUAUUUCAAGCUCAUCCCUUCUCAUUGCUUCCCAACCUUCCCCUCCCUUUCACAGAUCAUGAAACUGAACAGGAUUGUAGUGGUUUGGGGGACACACCCUCCCACCUCACUGAACAUCCUGCCAUGAGAGAGGUGUCCACCUGCUCCUGAGAGUCAGUUUAAAAUAUCAGCUUAGAUACCCAGGGUUCACCAAGCUGCCCUCUUUACCCCCGAGCUUUGAGUGCCAGCUUUGGCGACCACGUGCCCAGGGUCGAGCAGAAUCCCGGCUGAAGAAGAGGCAGGUCUUAGCAAAACCCAUUUUAGAGCAGAGGCAAGAUACUAAGAUGUCUUCACUAUUGGCCUGGAUGUGGGUCUAGGGGGUGUGUCUGGACCUGGAAAGUACUGACAGGGGCUGUAAUAAACUCUCAAUCUGUCCAUCUGACAGGGGCUGUAAUAAACUCCCAAUCUGUCCGUCUGAGAUGAUGAUGCUCUUUGAAGAAAAUUAAAUAUCUUUUAGAAGCAAAUCAAUCUGUGGUGUCUCCAGAAGUGACCUUCCCUCCAUGUCCCUGAAGACAGCAGUGUGAACAGACGUGGGGCUUUGCAGACAGCAGGGACCCUCCUCCCCCGCCAUCUCUGUGUCUGGUGUUGCUUUACCUAUGUUCUCCUCCCCACCCUCCCCAUGUCACCUUCUGCUGGGCAUGGCAGCUCACCCGUAAUCCUGGGAUCAAAAAGUGGAAACAUGAGAGUUGGGAGUUAGAAGGUAGUCUCAUUGGAAUGAGAUCGCACUUCAAACACUACAGCCCAAACCAAGCAAAUGAGUCACCCCUCAGCCUAGGGACGCCUUCUCCUCUGAGGCUGCCAAUCUGUUCAGGUCACAGACCAGGAUUCUGUUCCAGGCUUGGCAAGCACGAUUGUGACCACAGACUUCCUGUGCUUAUCCUUCUGCUUGGAAGUUGUGAAAGAAUGAGCUGGGCAUCGGGUCUGUGUUGGCCAUGGAUGGUCCUCACACAGGCAGGAGGAUCCCUGACGCCCUGAAACUCUGUAGCCCAGAUGUGCUGGAAGAGACAGACCCAAGGCUUCUCUGUGUCCCGGUUUCCACCACACAGAUGCUUGGCUUCUUACAGCAAGCAUCUAGAUAACGGAGUGAGUUUCUGGUUUGAUUCCAGAUGUUGGGCUGUGGAGCAGGGAGACAGGAAAGGGGCACCCGAGGCUUAAGUGCUUGGCCAAUAGCAUCCGAUGGCUCUCAGUCAGUAGCAGGUGUUGUGUCCAAUUCCAGACAUCCACAUGGUGGGUCACAACUGUUCCUGACUCCAGUUUUUGUGAAUCCUGUCAAGGGUUGGGCAAACACAAGGCUUUCUCGAGGCUCUGGUAUACAGAGAAGGAACCAGGAAUAAACUUGGUGGAGUUGGUAAUGGCCUCGGGCCAGAGCCUGGUGGGAGUUGUGGCUUCUGAUCCUGAAAAAUCAGCUUGUCUGACUACAUGGGUCUAUAAUGUUGAGAUACCUGGUUCCCUUGUGUGACACUGCUGGAUUAACUUCCUGCUGACUUCAUCCUAGUGUAUGAGUUUCUGAUGACUGUCCCAUUUCUCCCCUGGAAACAGCAUCUAAGGCCCUGUACUUAAUAAACUUGCUUGCAUGAGGUAA